rnacentral:lncRNA from 10 species
UUCAGAUUGGGUAGGCUGAGGAGAAGGAGUAUGUCUGGCUGUCUCAGAAGUGGCCGAGGUGGAAGAAAAUACUCAGAUAAGUAGUAUUGCAUAGUUCAAACCCAUGUUGUUCAAGGGUCAGCUGUAAAUCAUUGAUAUCUAUAUUAUUAAUCUAUCAUCUAUCUAUCUAUCUCAUCUAUACCUAUCUAUUCACAACAUAAUAUAUUAAAAUUGAUUUUAUUUCUACCCCCAACUUCAUGAUUUGCAUUUCUAUUGGGUUCUAACUUGACAGUAAAUAUUUUGUCAUUUCUAAUUUGUAUCCACAGGAUCUGGAUAUUUAAUAAAACGAUGAAUUUUGAUGAAUAUUGACUAUUAAUGGUGACAAAUAUUUACUGAGCAUUUUUUUGUGCAUAUUACAAAUACUUUCUCAUAACACAUUUGAGAGUUCUUACCAAAGACCUGUGAUUUAGAAGUCCUGCCACCUAUAAAGAAUGUAAUUGUCCAAGUUUAAAUGGCUAGUAAGUAGCAAAUGUAGCAUUUGAACCCAGGCAAUCUGGUUCUAGAAUUUUUUUUCUUAAUACUACAUAUAUACAAUUGUAAUGAACAAAUACGUGAAUUAAUAAAUGAGUGAAUGAAAACCUGUUUUACAUAAAAGCUUUAGGUUUUUAAAAAAAUCUCAACCAGAGUUUUUCAAUGAGUCCAGAACUUCUAUUUGCUAUGCGAUUCCCUAUGCUUUCAUUAAGGAUAGUUUUACAAUUGAAUCAGAAAUAUCUAUCUGAAAUCAGAAUACUUUUGUACAUUAUCAACUAAGAGCACUAAUUAGAGAAUUCUAUGAAAGAAGAAAGGCAACAAGGGCCCUAUGUAGCAUCAGCCAUGUUUAUUUCUUGCCAGUACGUUCUGCACUUCAAACACUCAUAUUCUGGCACUCCACAAUAGGUCUAUACAGUGUUAGAAAUGCAUUCUUAGUAUUUCCAGCCCAAAUUAUUAUCUGUUUUGAUGCAAAUUGCUAACAUCAAAUACAAAAACUAAAAAAAAUUUGACAAAACAUAGUAGCAAUAAAAAGAAAAUUCACAAUAGGCUGUAAGAAUUAGCAUUUCAAGCAUUGUGUGUAAAUGCAUCCUCUCCUAGAAGAGAGCAUAGUGCAUUUUAUCCCGUGCUUACAACAAGCCUAGAGUGGGCUAGCCAUAUAUUUACACAGAAUAUUUUACAUAGGAAAAAAUUAUAGAAUCCUCAUAACUAAAACCUAUUAAUGUUUUCCAAAAUCAUGUUACCAUCAUUUUAGGAAUAACAUAAGCAACUAUAUUUUAAUAAUGCAAUAACAAUGUGUUGGUGCAAAAUUUUUUUUUAAGUUGAAAAUGUCCUUCUCUAUUCAGAUGAGUUGUAUUAUGCUGUCAUGAUGUCAGUGCCUACAACCUGCAGCUGAUAGAACAGUUUCCUCUGGAAUAAAAGUUUGUUGUACCCUUAGGCAAUGAAGUAAAACAUCAACCUACAUGGCAGAUGAUAACAGGAAUAUUGAGAAUGAGGAAAAGAAUCCUGCAAAAUUGUUUAUUAUGCCAUAAUUACCAGAAUCAAGAAUCUUAUGUGUAAAUACAUAAAAAUAUUAAAAUAAGGGAUAAAUUCAAGGCAGCAAAAUCUGAU